GGAUGUGAGGGGGAUCUGGCUGUGACACCUGUUGUCCCUUGAUCACUAGGGCUGAUCUGGCUGAUCGCGCUGGCUAGGUGGGUGUCCCUUCCCUCCCUCACUGCUCCAUGUGCGUCCCUCCCCAGGCUGUGAGCUAGGGCUAGGAGGACGGCCACACGCAAUGGAAGACCAUUCCUCAGGCGGGAUAUACCAGCAGCUGCACUGCCCUACUAAAACUGCCUAGCAAGCUUUCAAGCAUGAAAACUUUUAGACUGCCUGAAUUUGUUUAAUUCCAUGAAGGUAUAACACUUUGAAAAGAAAAAAAUACUUUAAAGCAGUCUUUUCAACAAGUAGCACUGGAACAACCAAAUGUUCCUUUGU
rnacentral:snRNA from 1 species